rnacentral:rRNA from 1 species
ACACGACUACAUUAGAUACCCGUGUAGUCCUAGCCGUAAACGAUACUCGCUAGGUGUCGGCCACGGUGCGACCGUUGUCGGUGCCGUAGGGAAGCCGUGAAGCGAGCUACCUGGGAAGUACGGCCGCAAGGCUGAAACUUAAAGGAAUUGGCGGGGGAGCACAACAACGGGUGGAGCUUGCGGUUUAAUUGGAUUCAACGCCGGAAAUCUUACCGGGACCGACAGCAACAUGAAGGCCAAGCUGAAGACUUUGCCGGAUUAGCUG